rnacentral:rRNA from 1 species
AAUGAACGCUGGCGGCGUGCUUUACACAUGCAAGUCGAGCGAGGCGUGUAGCAAUACACAGUCGAGCGGCGAACGGGUGAGUAACGCGUGGAUUAUCUGCCCUGAGGUGGGGGAUAACCCGGGGAAACUCGGGCUAAUACCGCAUAUGACCGUGAGGUCAAAGGGGGGUCGCAAGAUCUCUCGCCAUAGGAGGAGUCCGCGUCCGAUUAGCUAGUUGGUAGGGUAAUGGCCUACCAAGGCGACGAUCGGUAGCCGGCCUGAGAGGGUGAU